GGGAGUUUGGCCGAGUGGUUAAGGCGCUGUGUUUAGGCCGCAGUGGGAAACCGCGCAGGUUCGAAUCCUGCAGCUCUCA